UCGAUCUCAAAUCAGGUAGGACUACCCGCUGAACUUAAGCAUAUCAAUAAGCGGAGGAAAAGAAACUAACAAGGAUUCCCCUAGUAACUGCGAGUGAAGCGGGAAGAGCUCAAAUUUAAAAUCUGGCGUGCCUCUGGUCGUCCGAGUUGUAGUCUAGAGAAGUGUUUUCCGUGUUGGACCGUGUAUAAGUCUCUUGGA
rnacentral:rRNA from 1 species